UGAGAGAGGGAAAGAGGAGAGCUCUAGUCUCCUCUGGCUCUUCAGUUUCUUUAGACUUUGGAUAUUUCUGGUUUCCAGCUUUGAGAGAAAAGAUGAAUGAUGUCUACCCCACUUCCGGCUGCUGAAGGGAAAUACUCUGGGAAGAAGCCAGUAUGAGAGGAGCUAGCCAUCUCCAUCCCUAUGCCCAGUGUACUACAGUUAACUACCUCUUGGUCUGGCUUCCUUGAGGAGGAAAGUUGGAAGGAGAAAGAAGGACAGGAAGAGUGAAGGGAGAAAGGACAGAAGAUAACUUGAUUUCCCUAAAACAUUUGAUAUAUAAGAACUACA
rnacentral:lncRNA from 1 species